UCCCUAGUGGUCUAGUGGUUAGGAUUCAGUGCUCUCACUGCUGUGGCCCAGGUUCAAUUCCUGAUUAGGGAA